rnacentral:lncRNA from 1 species
CAUAAGUCCGUCUGUUAAAUAGGAGGAUGUUGGUAGGUGUCAAUACAAUUCUCUCUUCUUGUUUUUUCAAAUAGUUUUUUACUUGUUUAUCUUAAUUUUUACAGCUGGCCUUGAAAAAGCAAGACAAGCUUCAAUGAAAAUGGUUAUUUUGCCAACUAAAAGAAGAUAUAUGUUCAUUGGCCUCCAGAAGCUUGCUAGAGGUAACCUCAAACUGUGACAUCCAGGAAUAUUAG